AGUGUAGUUGCGGCGUGUCAUUAUACUGUAAUGACACAGAAUGUAACUAUGUGUGUAUGACAAAUUGAUCAUCUAUAUUGCGUACUUGUCACUGCCGAGCGUCAUUACCACGAUGCUCGACGACGACGAGUCCUAGACGGCGAUGGUCUCCUUCUGCGAGACAGUAAUGUCCCAGAAGAAGAAUGUCGAGCGGAUGAGAGAGGAGGCCACCGACGAGGCUUCCGUCCACAGGCGACGUACGGGGAUGCUUAGGAGGUGCUACUCAAUGCACCUCCAGUGACGCCCCUGUGCACGUAUCAGGCCGGGGUGGGAACUCGGUCCUGCUAGACAUGGCGUAAUGGGUCCCCUGCGAUAACAAAA
rnacentral:misc_RNA from 1 species